rnacentral:rRNA from 1 species
AAGGAUGUGGGGAUGCACAGACAACUAGGAGGUUGGCUCAGAAGCAGCCAUCCUUCAAAGAGUGCGUAACAGCUCACUAGUCGAGUGACCCUGCGCCGAAAAUGUACCGGGGCUAAGCAUACUACCGAAGCUGCGGAUUCAACUUCAGAGUUGAGUGGUAGGGGAGCGUUGCAUGCACGUAGAAGCCGUACCGUAAGGAGCGGUGGAGAGCAUGGAAGAGAGAAUGCCGGUGUGAGUAGCGAGAUGUAGGUGAGAAUCCUACACACCGAUAGCCCAAGGAUUCCAGGGGAAGGUUCGUCCGCCCUGGGUAAGUCGGGACCUAACGCGAGGCCGAAAGGCGUAGUGGAUGGAAAACAGGCAGAUAUUCCUGUACCCGCGAUGGAAAUGAAGGAAUGACGGAGAAGGCUAGUGUGAGCCACUGAACGGAUUGUGGUCGAAGCAUAUAGCAGGCUGACAGUGAAAUGCGUCAGCGGGAUGUAAGAUGUGACAGGUAAGGGAACGUCCUCGGACAAGUACUGAAGCACAUGAUGCCAGCUUCCAAGAAAAGUUUCUAGUGAUAAUUCCAUAGCGGCCCGUACCAAAACCGACACAGGUGGGCAAGGAGAGAAUCCUGAGGUGAGCGAGAGAACUGUUGCCAAGGAACUCGGCAAAAUGACUCCGUAAGUUAGCGAUAAGGAGUGCUCUUGUAAAAGAGAGCCGCAGUGAAGAGGCCCAAGCGACUGUUUAACUAAAACACAGCUCUCUGCAAAGUCGCAAGACGAAGUAUAGGGGGUGACGCCUGCCCGGUGCUGGAAGGUUAAGAGGAUUUGUCAUCCGCAAGGAGAAGCAAUGAAUUGAAGCCCCAGUGAACGGCGGCCGUAACUAUAACGGUCCUAAGGUAGCGAAAUUCCUUGUCAGGUAAGUUCUGACCCGCACGAAAGGCGUAACGAUUUGGGCGCUGUCUCGGCAGCAGACUCGGUGAAAUCUUAGUACCUGUGAAAAUGCAGGUUACCCGCAACUAGACGGAAAGACCCCAUGGAGCUUUACUGUAGCCUGAUAUUGAAUUUUGAUCAAAGAUGUACAGGAUAGGUGGGAGGCGAAGAGACGUGUACGCCAGUAUACGAGGAGCCGCUGUUGGGAUACCACUCUUGUUUGAUUGAAGUUCUAACCUGCACCCAUGAACUGGGUGAGGGACCGUGUCAGGUGGGCAGUUUGACUGGGGCGGUCGCCUCCUAAAGAGUAACGGAGGCGCCCAAAGGUACGCUCAGAUUGGAUGGAAAUCAAUCGACGAGUGCAAAUGCAGAAGCGUGCUUGACUGUGAGACAAACAAGUCGAACAGGGACGAAAGUCGGGAUUAGUGAUCCGGCGGUGCCGAAUGGAAGGGCCGUCGCUCAACGGAUAAAAGCUACCCUGGGGAUAACAGGCUGAUCUCGCCCAAGAGUUCACAUCGACGGCGAGGUUUGGCACCUCGAUGUCGGCUCAUCGCAUCCUGGAGCUGAAUUCGGUUCCAAGGGUUGGGCUGUCCGCCCAUUAAAGCGGUACGCGAGCUGGGUUCAGAACGUCGUGAGACAGUUCGGUCCCUAUCUGUUGUGGGCGUUGGAGAUCUGAGGAGAGCUGUCCUUAGUACGAGAGGACCGGGAUGGACCUACCGCUGGUGCACCAGUUGUUCCGCCAGGAGCAUAGCUGGGUAGCUAAGUAGGGAAGGGAUAAGCGCUGAAAGCAUCUAAGCGCGAAGCCUACUCCAAGAUGAGAUCUCCCAUUCGUAUAACGAAGUAAGACCCCUUGAAGACGACGAGGUGGAUAGGUCAGAGAUGGAAGUGUAGCGAUACAUGGAGUUGACUGAUACUAAUAGGUCGAGGACUUAAUCAC